CCCGGCGGCGGCUCAGUAACACGUGGAUAACUUGCCCUUGGGUCCGGGAUACCCCUGAGAAAUUGGGGACAAUACCGGAUAGGGCAUCGAUAGCUGGAAUGCACGAUGUCCAAAAGCUGAGGCGCCCAAGGAUAGGUCUGCGGCUGAUUAGGUUGUUGUUGAUGUAAUGGAUCAACAAGCCUGCAAUCGGUACGGGUUGUGAGAGCAAGAGCCCGGAGAUGGGUUCUGAGAAAAGAACCCAGGUCCUACGGGACGCAUCAGGCGCGAAAACUUUACAAUGUGCGAAAGCACGAUAAGGGAACUCUGAGUGCCUCCUAUGGAGGCUGUUCAGGUGUCUAAAAAGCACUUGAAGUAAGGGCUGGGUAAGACCGGUGCCAGCCGCCGCGGUAACACCGGCAGCCCAAGUGGUAGCCACGAUUAUUGGGUCUAAAGCGUCCGUAGCCGGCCAGGGUAAGUUCUUUGGGAAAUUUAACCGCUCAACGGUUAAGCUUUCAGGGAAUACUGCUUGGCUUGGGACCGGGAGAGGUCAGAGGUACUUCAAGGGUAGGGGUGAAAUCCGUUAAUCCUUGAGGGACCACCCAGUAGCGAAGGCGUCUGACCAGAACCGGGUCCGACGGGUGAGGGACGAAGGCUAGGGUCGCGAACCGGGUUAGAUACCCGGGUAGUCCUAGCUGUAAACGAUGCUCGCUAG
rnacentral:rRNA from 1 species